GGGAUGCGGUUCGAUAAAAUUGCUCCCCUUGUUUAUUUCGCUCUCCUGUCAAAUCAUGUAAUUUCGCUAACUCCAAUGGUAGACGCGACAACGAUGGGUGUCGUCAGGACAGGUACGAUUAAAGGAAUCAGUUAGGAAUUAGACGAUCCCCAUUGGUAUAGUGUCGAAAAGGAUGAUAGACAGUAGUUUUAUCAAGAAGUUAUGGAGAUUGUUCCCGAAUAGAUUCCUUAACAUCACAGUGUAUAAGAGACUAAUGAGCCUCGUCUAGUGCAAGCAACUGACAUGCCCUACCUGUUACGCUGAAAUCAUGUUUAUUAUUGUAUAUUUACCUCAUGUUACACAUAUAUGUGUCUGAGCGUUGCUUUACAAUAAAUCUUAAAUCUUAAAAAAAAAAAAAAAAAA